AGCGAACGUUAGCGGCGGGCUUAACACAUGCAAGUCGAGCGAGAAGAGGGCGUCGGCCCUGAGUACAGCGGCGGACGGGUGAGUAACACGUAGGUAACCUGCCCUUCAGUGGGGGACAACAGUUCGAAAGGACUGCUAAUACCGCAUACGUCAUCCGGGACCCCGGUCCUGGAUGGGAAAGGUGGGCCCGCAAGGGUCUAUCACUGAAGGAGGGGCCUGCGUCGCAUCAGCUAGUUGGUGGGGUAAUGGCCUACCAAGGCUUAGACGCGUAGCUGGUCUGAGAGGAUGAUCAGCCACACUGGGACUGAGACACGGCCCAGACUCCUACGGGAGGCAGCAGUGGGGAAUAUUGGACAAUGGACGCAAGUCUGAUCCAGCCACGCCGCGUGAGUGAUGAAGGCCUUCGGGUCGUAAAGCUCUGUGGGGAGGGACGAACCGCCGAUGGCUCAUACCCAUCGGCAUGACGGUACCUCCUUAGCAAGCACCGGCUAACUUCGUGCCAGCAGCCGCGGUAAUACGAAGGGUGCAAACGUUGCUUGGAAUUAUUGGGCGUAAAGCGCACGUAGGCGGCUCCAAAAGUCGGAUGUGAAUCCCUCGGCUCAACCAAGGAAGUGCACCCGAAAACUGCGGAGCUUGAGUAUGGAAGAGGGGUCGCCGGAAAUUCCCGGUGUAGAGGUGAAAUUCGUAGAUAUCGGGAGGAACACCAGUGGCGAAGGCGGCGACCUGGGCCCAAUACUGACGCUGAGGUGCGAAAGCNUGGGGGAGCAAACAGGAUUAGA
rnacentral:rRNA from 1 species